UAGUGUGGGUCAGUAGAGGAGAGUAGGUCAGUAGUGUGGGUCAGUAGAGGAGAGUAGGUCAGUACAGGAGUUUAGGUCAUAGUGUAGGUCAGUAGAGUGGGUCAGUAGUGUGGGUCAGUAGAGGAGUGUAGGUCAGUAAUGUAGGUCAGUAGUGUGGGUAAGUAGAGGAGUGUAGGUCAGUAGUGUGGGUCAGUAAUGUGGGUAAGUAGAGGAGUGUAGGUCAGUAGUGUGGGUCAGUAGUGUAGGUCAGUAGAGGAGUGUAGGUCAUUAGAGGAGUGUAGGUCAGUAGUGUGGGUCAGUAGUGUGGGUAAGUAGAGGAGUGUAGGUCAGUAGUGUGGGUCAGUAGAGGAGUGUAGGUCAGUAGUGUAGGUCAGUAGUGUAGGUCAGUAGAGGAGUGUAGGUCAUUAGAGGAGUGUAGGUCAGUAGUGUGGGUCAGUAGAGGAGUGUAGGUCAGUAGUGUAGGUCAGUAGAGGAGUGUAGGUCAGUAGUGUAGGUCAGUAGUGUAGGUCAGUAGUGUGGGUCAGUAGAGGAGAGUAGGUCAGUAGUGCGGGUCAGAAGAGGAGAGUAGGUCAGUAGUGUGGGUCAGUAGAGGAGAGUAGGUCAGUAGUGUGGGUCAGUAG